rnacentral:rRNA from 1 species
AUCAAAGGUGAGCCAGUACAGGAUGGACCCGCGUCUGAUUAGCUAGUUGGUAAGGUAACGGCUUACCAAGGCGACGAUCAGUAGCCGACCUGAGAGGGUGAUCGGCCACAUUGGAACUGAGACACGGUCCAAACUCCUACGGGAGGCAGCAGUGGGGAAUAUUGCACAAUGGGCGAAAGCCUGAUGCAGCAACGCCGCGUGAGUGAUGAAGGCCUUCGGGUCGGAAAACUCUGUCCUCAAGGAAGAUAAUGACGGUACU